CCUUCUUCCUAUAGAACAUGUCCCUAUAAAACCUUUACAUCGCGUAUGUCCUCACUACAGCGUCCCCAAAAAACCGGUUUGAACGCCAGAGCAGCAGCUGCAGGUCUUUAGAGCCGCCCCAGCUCUUUCCUCCGUCACAACCCACCUCAAACCACAUCAGCAGACAUGAUCAUCAGACUGGGCAGACUGACACCUGGAUACUUCCGCCUCCUGCAGAGGCAAGUUGCCGGCGAGGUGCAGACGCAGCCACAGGACCGCGCCGUCAACCAGAUCGCCAUGAUGCUGGCCAUCAUGGGCCUGAGCUUGUCCUACUACAGUGCCAAACAGAUGACGGAGAAGGUCCAGACCCAGCCUGCACCCUGAACGGACUUGACCGCUCUAAUCAAUUAGAAAAUGGAUGAGCCGAUGAGCAGUGAAGGAGGUGGAGCCAGGACCACACUUUUCUCACCUCACAGUCAUAGUCACAGUCAGACAUUGAAUUUCUGGGAUCCCUCACUCAACAUGCACAGAGACUUCAGGGCUGCUGCAAAGGGGGUUUCUCUACUUCCUGUUGUCAGGACCUGAAGGGGUUUGUGGGGCGCUCACUUGGGGCUGUGGAGAGGACUGGUUAAAGGACUGGGGGGGAAAUAAAAUCCAGCUGUUUGACCAUUAGUUGUUACAAAGGUACAUUCUUACAAGAUGUUGCCAAUGCUGUUCUGAGCUUAAAAAGGGGGAAAAUCUAAAAAACUGUGAAUUUAGCAAGUGUUCAAAUCCUGUCGCUAAAGGGUUAAAAAAUCAGAACAGUGAUGGAUAAAGAAAGGCUGACUGCUACUGAGAUGUACCUUUUAACAAAGUGAUGGCAGGCACAAGACAUGCUUGAAGGAGGUUAAAAAAAAUUCACUCAACCGUUCUAGGGUUUUUUUUGUCUUUUUGUUUCCACCAUGAGAACCUUGCAGAGAGCUGUUUUCACAAACUGUCCAUAAAUAUUUGUGUGAAAUGUUUCUGUCAGAGUCUCAGAGAAUAUUUGCACAAAAGUGCAGCCAUGUUUUAAAUGCUACAAUAGAUCUGCAAAGGGAUUUAAAACUACUCACUACCUUUUUUUUUCCUGUGAUUUUGCUGUUUUUAACAACUUUAUGAACUCCUGUUGAGAAGAAUUGUGACUAACUUGAUAAGAACUCUUCCUGCAGCAUCUACAUUUAAACGUGUAACUGUAACAGAGUAGUGCAUGGGUGUGCAGACUUUUAAUCAAAGAAAACAAAAUCAAGAGUCUGUCUUGUUUUUAUUGAUGAAAUGAAUGUAUAUCUUUAUUUUGUAAUGAUUUAAUAAAGCUGUGAAUAUUUUGAACGAGCAUAA